rnacentral:rRNA from 1 species
GAUGAACGCUGGCGGCGUGCCUAACACAUGCAAGUCGAGCGAUUUUCUUCGGAGAAGAGCGGCGGACGGGUGAGUAACGCGUGGGUAACCUGCCCUGUACACACGGAUAACAUACCGAAAGGUAUGCUAAUACGAGAUAACAUACUUUUAUCGCAUGGUAGAAGUAUCAAAGCUUUUGCGGUACAGGAUGGACCCGCGUCUGAUUAGCUAGUUGGUAAGGUAACGGCUUACCAAGGCGACGAUCAGUAGCCGACCUGAGAGGGUGAUCGGCCACAUUGGAACUGAGACACGGUCCAAACUCCUACGGGAGGCAGCAGUGGGGAAUAUUGCACAAUGGGCGAAAGCCUGAUGCAGCAACGCCGCGUGAGCGAUGAAGGCCUUCGGGUCGUAAAGCUCUGUCCUCAAGGAAGAUAAUGACGGUACUUGAGGAGGAAGCCCCGGCUAACUACGUGCCAGCCGCCGCGGUAA